rnacentral:rRNA from 1 species
AUUGAACGCUGGCGGCAGGCCUAACACAUGCAAGUCGAACGGGUGGGGGACGGGUUAGCUAUGAAUGGGACACUGCCUGAUGGAGGGGGAUCACUACUGGACACGGAAGCUGAUAACGCAUACCAUCAGAUGUGCCCAGAUGGGAUUAGCUUGUUGGUGGGGUAACGGCUCACCAAGGCGACGAUCCCUAGCUGGUCUGAGAGGAUGAACAGCCACACUGGAACUGAGACACGGUCCAGACUCCUACGGGAGGCAGCAGUGGGGAAUAUUGCACAAUGGGCGCAAGCCUGAUGCAGCCAUGCCGCGUGUAUGAAGAAGGCCUUCGGGUUGUAAAGUACUUUCAGCGGGGAGGCGUUACCCGCAGAAGAAGCACCGGCUAACUCCGUGCCAGCAGCCGCGGUAAUUC